GUGGGGAAUAUUGGACAAUGGGCGAAAGCCUGAUCCAGCCAUGCCGCGUGUGUGAAGAAGGUCUUCGGAUUGUAAAGCACUUUAAGUUGGGAGGAAGGGUAGUAGCCUAAUACGUUGCUACUUUGACGUUACCGACAGAAUAAGCACCGGCUAACUUCGUGCCAGCAGCCGCGGUAAUACGAAGGGUGCAAGCGUUAAUCGGAAUUACUGGGCGUAAAGCGCGCGUAGGUGGUUCAGUAAGUUGGAAGUGAAAUCCCCGGGCUCAACCUGGGAACUGCUUUCAAAACUGCUGAGCUAGAGUACGGUAGAGGGUGGUGGAAUUUCCUGUGUAGCGGUGAAAUGCGUAGAUAUAGGAAGGAACACCAGUGGCGAAGGCGACCACCUGGACUGAUACUGACACUGAGGUGCGAAAGCGUGGGGAGCAAACAGGAUUAGAAACCCUAGUAGUCC
rnacentral:rRNA from 1 species